GGUUCGAUUCUGGCUCAGAUUGAACGCUGGCGGGGAUGCUUUACACAUGCAAGUCGAACGGCAGCACGGACUUCGGUCUGGUGGCGAGUGGCGAACGGGUGAGUAAUGUAUCGGAACGUGCCUAGUAGCGGGGGAUAACUACGGCGAAAGCGUGCAGCGUAAUACCGCAUACGCCCUUCGGGGGAAAGUGGGGACCUUCACCGCACUAUUAGGAGCGGCCGAUAUCGGAUUAGCUAGUUGGUGGGGUAACGGCUCACCAAGGCGACGAUCCGUAGCUGGUUUGAGAGGACGACCAGCCACACUGGGACUGAGACACGGCCCAGACUCCUACGGAGGCAGCAGUGGGGAAUUUUGGACAAUGGGGGAACCCGAUCCAGCCAUCCCGCGUGUGCGAUGAAGGCCUUCGGGUUGUAAAGCACUUUUGGCAGGAAGAAACGGCACGGAUAAUACCCCGUGCAACUGACGGUACCUGCAGAAUAAGCACCGGCUAACUACGUGCCAGCAGCCGCGGUAAUACGUAGGGUGCAAGCGAGAACGGAAUUACUGGGCGUAGCGUGCGCAGGCGGUUCGGAAAGAAAGAUGUGAAAUCCCCAGAGCUUAACUUUGGAACUGCAUUUUUAACUACCGAGCUAGAGUGUGUCAGAGGGAGGUGGAAUUCCGCGUGUAGCAGUGAAAUGCGUAGAUAUGCGGAGGAACACCGAUGGCGAAGGCAGCCUCCUGGGAUAACACUGACGCUCAUGCACGAAAGCGUGGGGAGCAAAAAAGGAUUAGAUACCCUGGUAGUCCACGCCCUAAACGAUGUCAACUAGCUGUUGGGGCCUUCGGGCCUUGGUAAAGCAGCUAACGCGUGAAGUUGACCGCCUGGGGAGUACGGUCGCAAGAUUAAAACUCAAAGGAAUUGACGGGACCCGCACAAGCGGUGGAUGAUGUGGGAUUAACUAGAUGCAAACGCGAAAAACCUUACCUACCCUUGACAUGUCUGGAAUCCCGAAGAGAUUUUGGGAGUGCUCGCAAGAGAACCGGAACACAGGUGCUGCAUGGCUGUCAGCCUUCGUGUCGUGGAUGUUGGGUUAAGUCCCGCAACGAGCGCAACCCUUGUCAUUAGUUGCUACGAAAGCGGCACUCUAAUGAGACUGCCGGUGACAAACCGGAGGAAGGUGGGGAUGACGUCAAGUCCUCAUGGCCUCUUAUGGGUAGGGCUUCACACGUCAUACAAUGGUCGGGACAGACGCUAACCCGCGAGGGGAGCCAUCCCCAGAAACCCGAUCGUAGUCCGGAUCGCAGUCUGCAACUCGACUGCGUGAAGUCGGAAUCGCUAGUAAUCGCGGAUCAGCAUGUCGCGGUGAAUACGUUCCCGGGUCUUGUACACACCGCCCGUCACACCAUGGGAGUGGGUUUUACCAGAAGUAGUUAGCCUAACCGUAAGGAGGGCGAUUACCACGGUAGGAUUCAUGACUGGGGUGAAGUCGUAACAAGGUAGCUCAGCCACUCGAUGC
rnacentral:rRNA from 1 species